GUGAAUCAUCGAAUCUUUGAACGCAUCUUGCGCUCCUUGGUAUUCCGAGGAGCAUGCCUGUUUGAGUGUCAUUAAAUUCUCAACCUCUACCGGCUUUGCUGCUUGGUAUUGGCUUGGAUGUGGGGGUUACCUUUGCAGGCUCUUCACAGAGUCAGCUCCCCUGAAAUGCAUUAGCAGUGACCUUUAUGGCCAUCGGUGUGAUAACUAUCUACGCCGCUGGACAUUUUGUUGCUCGCUGCUUCUAACAGUCCAUUGACUUGGACAAAGAAUCUACAUGACAAUUUUGACCUCAAAUCAGGUAGGACUACCCGCUGAACUUAAGCAUAUCAAUAAGCGGAGGA
rnacentral:misc_RNA from 1 species